CAGGCGCUAUGCUAUUAGCAGUUGUGGAUGCAUUCAGCAAAUGGUUCGAGGUAAAGACUGACGUCCGUCUUCUCCAACUUCCUUUACUUUCCGGUUUCGCCCGGCCUGUCUUGCGCUUGACGCUCUUUCGCCCUUUCAAGCAAAUUGCUUGAUUAAUUAAUUAAAUAUUUUCUUGCAAGGUAACCACAUCAACUACAACAAACUGGAUGGUUUACUGGAUGAACUAUUUGCAGUUUAUA